AAGGACCAUGGUGGAGGCCUAAGGAAGUGCCAGCAGUGCUAAGUGACUUCAUUAUUUUUACUUCAAAAUCAUUACUGAAACACCUUUAGUUUUGGAAGCCUGUAAUGAUCAUGCACUCCAGAAGCACUGAAUAUCUGCUUGUAAUUAAUAACCAGAAAUCAUUCCAACUUUAUCUAGAGUUUCCAGGGAAAAACAUAAAGUUAUCUGAGAUGAAAACAAAAAACAGACUUCCCGUGCCCCUAUACUCUAACUUUGGUGUCUGGUGCUGUUUCUAUGCAAGCUGAAGACUAGAAAUGUGAUACUGAAUUUGAAGAUUCUCAUCAGUGUCCUGAAUGCUGAAAUUUUACCUUCUUUGCAUGGGUGAGGUCCCAGCCAUGCUCUGGCACAUUGCAGAUGCAUGCUGCAGGACACAGUGAUUCCCUUGAGCAAAGCUCUCAGAGAAGAACAGGUAGAGGAUUUUUAGUUCAAGCCUGCCUGGGAAAUCAGUGAU